UACGGGGGGGGCAAGCGUUGUUCGGAAUUACUGGGCGUAAAGAGCUCGUAGGCGGUCUGUUGCGUCGGCUGUGAAAACCCGGGGCUCAACUCCGGGCCUGCAGCCGAUACGGGCAGACUAGAGUUCGGCAGGGGAGACUGGAAUUCCUGGUGUAGCGGUGAAAUGCGCAGAUAUCAGGAGGAACACCGGUGGCGAAGGCGGGUCUCUGGGCCGAUACUGACGCUGAGGAGCGAAAGCGUGGGGAGCGAACAGG
rnacentral:rRNA from 1 species